GUGUCGUUAUUCUAAUCGAAUUACUCAGUUUUCAAUUUACAUAUGAUUCUUAAACAAAAUUUGCAUUUUUUUUUCUUAAUUUCCGUAUAAAUUUCUUCUGUUUUUGAUCGGUAAUUAGUAAUUACUCCGUAUGAUUUUGAGUUAAGUUGAGCACUAGACAAAACAUAAUACUCUGUAUUUCUCUUUCGGCAAUCCACCAGCUGAAAAUCAGUUGUCAAAUUUUUGCACCUCUCUGAUAGCGAACCUACGGUCUUCCUCACCGUCUCUACUUGCUUCGAAACCGCCGAUUAACAGAUCGUCAACUGCGUUCUCGUCUCCGCUUUGCUUCCGCUUAAAUUCGAAAAGAAUUGGAGAGCGCAGAAUUGCAUGCGAUUACCACUGCUUCGAAAUGAAGAGUUGGCGCCUCUAGUAGAUCAGUCUGAGUGGAGCAUUAAGGAGAGAAUCCCUGCCUAUUUGAUUAUGUGUCUUCCCUUUUGAAUCAACUAAUGCUUCUGUAGUUGAGGGACAGGAACAGAAGCAUCUAGUAGAAAUCCUUGGCCACAUGGAUAGUGCUGAAGAGUCUGGUUUAAUUAAUAAGUCAUUUUUGCAAUUACGUGCUGAAGAGAGUGUGUCACAGUAGACAGCCAUGUGCAUUUUAAAUUACUGUUAUGUUACAUGAAAAAAUAUUUUUCGGCUGCUAACCACAACCAUGCACCGCCACUGCUCAAUGUAUAAAGGUGCUCAAUCUCAAAUCGAUGUUCUCAAUUGGCUGUCAAUGCAUCUAAGGGUGUCUUUGCAAUUCCCACUUCACGUGUAUUUGUCGAGCAAGUGAGGCACACACAUAUGUUCGACGAUAUCCAAGGACCGUGGAUCAAUUAGGGGGUGAAGACAAGGGCUAGAUGGGAAUGAAGGGGGGAUGUGUGAAGGUCGCAUUGCCUGGGAUCAGCUGAAAUGGAGAGGUAGACACGCCCUCCCACUCUAGUGUAGUGAUCUACAAAUUUCAAUAUAAAGUUGGCGUUACGGGCUAACUAUGCAUAUGAAGAUUCACCUCAGCAACAUGUCCGUAAGAAACAUGAAAGCUCCCAUGUUGCUUUAUGAUUGGGUGAGGUAGGAGGAGUAAGAGCUCAAGAUCUCAUAUGUUGGGACGAUCAUGAUUAGAGGUACUACGACAACACAAGAAGUAAUUUACUUUUACUCUUUUCAUUUAUUACUUCUUAUUCUAUAUUUAAUUUUCAUAUUGUUGAUUUAUUAAAUACAAAAAAUACUUAUCAAAAUAAAUAAUUGUUCAUUUUGAAUGAAAUUAGUGAAAACCCAGUAAAAAA